CUAACCUAGAACCCACAAAGGGU
rnacentral:siRNA from 1 species